GAUGAACGCUGGCGGCGUGCUUAACACAUGCAAGUCGAGCGAACGGACGAGAAGCUUGCUUCUUUGAUGUUAGCGGCGGACGGGUGAGUAACACGUGGAUACCCUACCUAUAUGACUGGUAUAACUUCGGGAAACCGGAGCUAACACCGGAUGAUAUUUUGAACCGCAUGGUUCAAAAGUGAAAGACGGUCUUGCUGUCACUUAUCGAUGGAUCUGCGCUGCAUUAGCUAGUUGGUACGGUAACGGCUUACCAAGGCAACUAUGCAUAGCCGACCUGAGAGAGUGAUCGGCCGCACUAGAGCGGGAACACCGUCAUUGGGCCUGCGAGACGCAGCAGAAGGCAACCUGCGGCAGUAGGGGGGAGCCUUACGCAAUGGCGCCGCGUGUGAGGUAGAGGUCUUCGGAUCGGAAUGCUCGGUUUCUGGUGAAAAACAUAUUUGGAAGGUGCUGAGGACAGCUUGACGGUACCUGAUCAGAAAGCCACGGCUAACUACGUG
rnacentral:rRNA from 1 species